AUUUUACUCACUUAAAAUUUCAGAAAUAUUUUUUCUAUAAGAAAUAAACAAAUUAUCCUUAAUUACUUAUUCUAUAAGAAAUAUAUAUUAUUUUAAUGUAUUUAUGUUAUUUUUAAGGAUAUUUUUAGUAUAAAUUACACUAUAUUACAUUAUGCUUUACAGAUUUUUUUCACUUUCUACACUGUAUUAUUUUUUUUCAAAGUCAUUAAUUAACUUUUUUUUUUUUUCCAAUCUCUACACUACAUGUAAUAAAUUUAUAAUUUCAAAUGAAAGCUGUAAUUAAAAAUAUACUAGUUGAAAGUGGAAUAUCAUAUAUUCAACUCGUUUUGACCGAAAAAUAAAAUACAUAAAUAUCAUAAAAAAUAGUUAAAACUUAAUAACUUGACAAAAAUUUUCAAGGAGUCUAUUGUGGAGAUUCAUUUUACAUCUUUUUUACUAUUUAAUUAAUAUUUUUUAAUAAAAUUGUCAAAUUUUCUCUAAAAUAAUAAAUUUUUUAAUAGUAGUACAAAGAUUGGAGAAAAAUAAAUAAUUUAGCGAUAUAUAUGAAAAAUAAUAGUACAAUAUAGAGAUUGAUAAAAUAUAAUAAUAUAAUGACCUAUGUAAAAAUAGUAAAUAAAAAUAAUAUUAAAAUAUAAUGUUGUACUAGAAUGUAACUAAGCCUUUUUUGUUGUACAUAUAAUAUUGUACAAUAUCUUAAAAGAUUAUUAUUAAUCCUAAUGAACAUAAAUUAGGCAUCUAUAAAAACAACUAAUUAAUUAAAGAUGUACAAAGGAUGAGAUGUCACAAUCCCCAGUUACAUGAACUGUCACCUUCUUCACCAAUCGCUAAAAGUUACCCAUCACCUAAUACUUAUCCUUUUUUUUAAUAAUAAUAAUAAUAAUAAUAAUAUCAUAUAGAAUUAUAAUUGCAUAAGCUAUUGUGACACAAUUUGGACGUAGCAAGGUGUAUACAAAUGUCACACAAUUUUAUUAUUAAGGUUAAUUUCAUACAUAUUUCUGCAAACAUAGUGAAUUAUAUAUAUAUUUCUGCAAAGUUCAUAUUUUAUAAGUUAUUCUUACAAAAAUCCUAAUGUACUCAGAUAUGUCCCUAUGGUUAGGAUCCGUUAGAGAACUAUUUAUUUUUUAAUAGUAGACUCGUGAAAUAAUAUUUUUGCCCUCACAAAUAUGUCUCUUCAAAAACCCUUUCAAUUUUUGUCAUUUUCCUCUUUCUCUUUCUUCUCGGGCUGCGAGAGCGGGUGAGCGGUUGUCCGGCAACGUCGCGAAGCUUGUCAGAGUUGUGGCUGAUGAGGAUAAGGUUGAGGCCCGCAUCGGCGAGGCAGAAGGCGAAGGUGCGACCGAUUUGGAAGCGUUGGUGACGACGGCCCAUGCGAGCGCGACGAUCAGAUUAUCGAUGAAGACGAAGAAAAAAGAGGAGAAAAGGAGGAGGAAAAGGAGGAUACGAAGAAGAAGAGGAAGAAGAAAAAGCAUAAAAGGAAGAGAAAGAGGAAGAAGAAGAAGGGCAAAAUUAUCAAUUCACCUUAUUAAUUAACCAUGAUUAAGUAUCUUAACCAUGGUUAACUAAAUUUUUUUGGAAAAACUUCAAAAACCCCCCCUGUGGUUUCAUGCAUUCUCACUUUCAUACCCUGUGGUUUAAAACGUAUCAAUUUGCCCCCCUGUGGUUUCAUUUUUCUCUUUUUAUUAUCAAUUUUAUUAUUUUUUUUUUCUUAAAUCAGUGACAAAAUUAAAAUUAAAGGAUACUAAAGUGAAUAUUCGAUAAACAUAGAUGGUUAUCUGAAGUUUUUUGUAUAUAAUUUANUUAAAGGAUACUAAAGUGAAUAUUCGAUAAACAUAGAUGGUUAUCUGAAGUUUUUUGUAUAUAAUUUAACGAAAUAUUAACGAAAAAGCUUCUGAAAAGAUAAAAACGAAACCACAGAGGGGCAAAUUGAUACGUUUUAAACCACAGGGUACUAAAGUGAGAAUGCAUGAAACCACAAGAGGGGUUUUUGAAGUUUUCCUAAUUUUUUUAAUAGAACCUAACGACAGAGACACAUCUAAAUACUUAGGACUUUUGUAGGGAUAACUUAUGAAAGUUGAACUUUGCAGGAAUAUAUCUGUAAUUUAUCAUAUUUGCAGGAAUCUGUAUGCAAUUAAACCAUUUAUUAAAAGUAAAAUGCAUGUUAGUCCCUAUAUUUUUUUAUGUAAAUAAUUUAGUGUUUCAACUUCUAUAUCUAUCCAUGAAAUACUUUUGAUUCCUAGCGGUCAAAAAGUAAUCUGAACAGAACUAGAAAAUAUUUUACAAUAUAAAUUAAUAUUUUAAAUAUUUGGAGAUUAUAGUAUAAUUUAUGUCAAAAUUCAGAGAAUUAAGUGCGUAAAUAAAAAGUAUCCAACCAAUUUGAAUUAUCGGUAUAGUACAUAUAUGGCGCAUAUAUCCAUACAUUUCGCCCUUCUGUCUACAAAUUUGGAAAUACGAGGAGCCACUAUAAUAAAUCUUUCACUAAAGGAUAUCGUUAAAUCUUAAACAAUAACUAUCGACGCUUUAAAAUAUCAACAAAUAUAACACCGACGUUUGUAAAAAUAUCAAGCAAAAAGUCGUUAAGUAAAUAUGUCGGAAUAAAUAUAUCGACGCUUUAAUUAAUAUAGUGUCGAAAAAAUUUUAUCAAUGGUUGAUAAAAAUAUAUUUUUUAACGAUACUUAAUCAUGGUGUUGGCAUAUACCAAAUAUUGAAGACGUUAGAAUAGAACGUCGCCUAAAAUAUAUUUUGUUGUAGUGCACAUAUUAUAUAUAUAUAUAGAGAGAGAGAGAGAGAGAGAGAGAGAGAGCAGGGCUACUAUACUCCUACGAGUAUAGAGCCCUUCAUAUUUAUAAGCUGUUUCGAUGAUGAAGCUUCCAAAUCGACGAUCCACUCCGUUAAAUAUAAUCUAGAGUAUUUGAAACCUUUUAAAAAUUAAUUUCGAAAUUUCGAAAUUAUAAUAAAGUCUAUAUAUCAAGCAAGCACAAAAUGAACGGUCAAAAUCGAACGACGUCCUAAAAAUGGAUGAUUGGAUCAUUUAAUUUAAGAUCGGAGUUACCGAUCUUUAUUUAAAUAGUGAAUAAAAUUUUCUAUCAAAAAUUCAACCAAAUCCAAUUCUUUUACACUGUUAAACUAGCAAGUAUCCUAUACCGCUGUUAAAAAUUAUUAAUUUUGUAACUUUUGAUCGUAAGACAAAUGAUAUUGAAAAAUUAUGAAAUUUGAUUUCUAGAAAAAUUUUAAAUGCUCUAUAUAAUGUUUAACGAUAUGGAUCAUCAAUUUGUAAGCUCUAUCGUUGAAAAUAACUUAUGAGUACGAAGGCAAUCGUAUUCAUAAGAAUAUAGUAGCCGGACUCUAUAUAUAUAUAUAGAGACAGAGAGAGAGAGAGAGAGUCUGGCUACUAAACUCUUCUGAGUAUAGAGCCUUUUGUACUCAUAAAUUUUUUACCGUUUGAUCUACCCUUUAAUUAUUUUCAUCUGUUAGAUUAUACUAUUCAACCAACAACGCACUCAACCCUAGGGGGGCCCACUAUCAACCUAACCGUAACUACUCUCAUCCUAACCGCACAUCUUUUCAUCUGAACGGCCGAAAAGUUAUGAGUACAAAGAACUCUAUACUCAUAUGAGUAUAGUAGCCCAGCCUAUACUCAUAUGAGUACAAAAAACUCUAUACUCAUAUAAUCCAAUGGUUAGAAAUAAUGAAAAGAGUUGAUCCAAAGGCUAAAAAACUGGUAGCAACAAUGGAAUUUUGCUACUAAUAGUAGCCCAGUCCAACUCUAUAUAUAGAAUUAGGCUGGAAUACUAUUAAUAGUAAAACGUUCAUUUUGCUAUCAAGUUUUUAACUCUUGGAUGAAAAAUUGUAGGGUCAGGAUGAUAUUAGUCGGUUAGAGUUGAGUGGUCCCCCUAGGGUUGAGUGGUCCCCACUGGGUUAUAGUAUUUAAUCCAAUGGUUAGAAAUAAUGAAAAGAGUUGAUCCAAAGUUAAAAACUUGGUAACAAUGGGAUUUUGGACUACUAAUGUAGCAGAGUCCAACUUAAUAAUUCAUAUUAUAUAUAUUUAUAUAUAAUAUAUCGUAUAUGAGAGGAGACGAGCGAGAGGAACGAGGAGGGAGAGAUGAGACGAGGAGAGGAGAGAGAUAGAGAGUUUUUGACACCUUAGAAUAUUAUCGUUAGUAAAUGGUACUCGGUUUAUAUUUUGAUUUGUUUUCGUGAUAGAGUUUCAAUUGAUAGGCUUGCCAACAUUAUCCAACUUAAUUUUUUUAGUUUUGUGACUUUUUGCAUCGUUCAGUUAGUGAUUACAAAAAUCAUGAAAUUUGAUAUUCUAGAUAUUUUAAAUGUUAUAGAUUAUGUUCAACGUGCGAUCAGUCGUUUGGAAGGCUCUAUCAUCAGAAACAAAGUUCUAGGUAUUAAUGAGCGGUUUACUCCGAUGCUAGCCAGUUCAAAUAUUAUAUAUAUUAUAUAUUAUAUAUAUAUAUAUACUCAACUCUAUAUCUAUAUAUUUUUAUAUAUUAUAAAACUGAGAUGCUAUACUAUCAGUAGCACGGAGCUUUUACCAGUUGUUUUCCAGUAUCGUGUUUCAGAAAUCGCACGGAUCAGGCAAUCAUUAGAUUGAUUCACUAUUGAAAGUAUUUGGAAACUAAAUUUCAUAAUUUUUUAUUUUGAGCCCCUUAGUUCACCGGGCUAAUGAUAUCGAAAAAUUACAAAAUUUAUUUUCUCAAUACUUCAAAUAAUCUAGAUCAAGUUUAACGUAGCCGAUCGACGAUUCGAAAGUCGCAACAUCGAAAACGACCUGGUCCGUGCUUCCAGAAGCAUAGUAGCCUCACUCACUCACUCUCUCUCUCUAUAUAUAUAUAUAUAUAUAUAUAUAUAUAUAUAGGGAUAUGCGGUUAGAAUGAUGUGGAACCUCUAGGUUUGAGUGAGUGGUUGAUUGAAUGGUUUGAUCUAAUGGGUGAAAAUAAUCAAAGGGGUAAAUCUAAAGGUAAAAAAUUUACAAACACCGAGUGCUUGGUGCUUUUACAAACACUAUAACAUAACUCCAUGGACGCAUUUGGUUCGAAGUUGGAAUCGGAAUUAGAAUCGGAAUCGAAAUAAGCUGGAAUCAGAAUCGGAAUGACUCAUUACCUGAAUCGGAAUCGAAAUAAAUCAUUACCAUUGUUGGUGUUUGGUUUAGUUAGAUAUAAAAAAACGUAAUCAAAUUAAUAUACUAACCUUAUCUUUAUAAUAAAUUAAUUUAAAUUUAAACUGAAAAUUAAAUAGUAAAAAAAUUACGUCCAAAUUUUAAAAUAAUGUCAAAAUUUUAAAUCUAUUUUUUUUAAAAAAAAAAUAAACUUUGAAGUUGAGUGGAUAAUUCAAAAUAUAAAACUUGAUUAAAUUUUAAUUUUUAACUCAAAUCCAGAUUAAAAUUUAAAAUUAUAAAUUUAAUUUCUAAAUUUAAACUAUAUUUCAAUUAAAAAAGUUAAAAAAAUAAAUUUAAUCCGAAUAAAUAUCUAUUAUGUCGAGAUUCAACUUCCAAUCCGGUCUCCCAGGCUGGAUUGAAAAAAGAGGUGAUUAGGAAAUUCUCAUUCCACUCGGGAAUCGGAAUCGAAAUGGGACUCCCGCAUACCAAACACUCACAAACGAAUUCACUCAUGAUCCGAUUCCGAUUCUAAGGUGAAAAAAAGUGAACCAAACACGCCCUAUAUAUAGAAAAUAGUACUGCUGUGUGAAAUGAAGCUGGUGCAAUUAUCCAAUAUAAUUCCAAAAAAAAUUUAUUUACUUAUAAAAAAAAUAGUAAAGGUUCAACUAAUUUGCACAAUUUUUUCCUUUUUCAAGUUGAAGUGGAGAGCAAACAUUUUUUUAGAACUAAGAUUUUUGAAAUUACAGCAUUAUUAUAUGCCGACGCAAAGUGGACGAGAUUUUUCCAAUAAGAAAAUCAAAUCAUAACUACGUACUAAUAAAUUCGUAAUUUUUUUUUUUAAAAUUGCAUUAAUUCUAGUGUCAUGUUAUUUGAAAUAUUAAAAUAGUCCAUAAAUAUAAUUAAAAUUUAAAAUUCGUAGAUAUAUAAAAACUAAUUUUUCCAAUUUGUCUAAACUUUAGCAUUUUAUAUACAGAAUUCUGAAUUUUGAAUUUUGAUAAUUAAGCUUUCUAAAUUUUAUCUAGCAAUUUAAUAUAUUUUGCUGCUCAAGCAGAGUUACCAACUAAACAGUCGUAGUGAUCGAUCGCAUGCCUUGCACAUGAUUUUGUAUAAUUUAAGAAAUCUAUUUUUUCUAGUUACAAUAAGAAAAUCAACUAUUCGAUGAUUGAGAUUUAUUCAAUAAGAAAAUCAAAUUUUUUUAUUUGAAUUUUCUUACUAAGAUAAUAAGUUAAAAAAUUUAACUAAUUAAUGACUCCAUUGGAUAUUACUGUUAAUUGACCUAGUUUUAUUUGGUGAGAAGUAAUUAAAAUCCUUAAAUUUGGUAAAAUCAGCAAUACAUUUUAUGAAAAUUCUAAUUAUUUUUUUUUCUAAAAUUACUCAACUCCAAAAAUUAGAAUCUGAACGGUUCUCAAUCGAAAAAAACUAAAAGUUGAGGGGUCUACUCACAAACAAUUUUACCUAAAGCUUUUUUGUCAAUUGUACCAACAAUCCCCAACUAAAGGCUUAAUAUUUUCUAUAUAAAAUUUUAUUUUUGUACUUUUGAACACUACAUUUUUAGAGAGAGAGAGAGAGAGAGAUGAAUGACAAUGAUGUUUUCCUAUCACAAAAUUCAUAUAUAGGAUUAGAGCUUCAGGGUGGUGAUUUGUAUUUUUACAAAAGUUGCUCAAACAGCUCUUCUCAAAACAAAUACAAUUCUAAUUCAAAUACAAUAUUUGCUCAAAAUAUCUGAUUUUUACAGGAUUUCCAAAUAGGAUCACCAAAAGGUUUCGAUUUGAUCAGCUGUUAUUAUUUUUACUCCAUAAAUUAAUAACUGUAACAAAAAAGACUUUCUCAGAGGUAGGGGGAAAUGGUGGUCCAGCAUGCAAAAAGGAGGAAAUCNACUCUACUCCGUGGCUUCUCCGGAAAACCGGAGUUACUAUUCACUUAAGUGAAAACUAAUAAUCGCGUAACUUCUCCGUUUAAGCUCAUUUUCUCCUGAAACUUGACGAGUGCUUAUGUAAUUAAAUUACACACAUAAACAUCGUCAACAGAGAGUUUAGUUGCAUAGUCAAAAAUCUCAGUCCUUACAACAUUUUUCUCUAUUGUUCUUUUUUUCUUUCUCUUUCCAGAGAGCGGCGGAGACAGAGCGGACUCUCGCCCGCACACCCCCACCUUCCUCGCCUCUGACCCUGCCGAGACCGCACCGCGACUUUUUUUUUUCCUCUUUGACUCUCCUCCACCGUUUCCGACGACGACACCUCUCUCGCCUUUCCCUGCCCUUCUCGUCCUCUCCCUCUCUUUCCUUCUCUGCCGCCUCCGAGGACGACGCAUCUUCGCCGGCGCCGACAAUAUGCCGGUGCAUCCUUACCCUCGGCUGCACACCCCCCCACCUUCCUCACCUUCGACCUCGCCGAGGCCGCGCCGCGACUCUUUUUUUUUUCCCUCUCCCACUCUCCUCCACCGUCUCCGACGACGACGCCUCUCUCGUCUUUCCCCGUUCUUCUCGUCCUCUCCCUCUCCCUCUCCCUCCUCUUCUGCCGCCUCCGACAACGACACAUCUUCGCCGGCGCCGACGUCGACACCGAUGCCGACACCGUAGAGGUUACUGUGGCGCUACGGCCUCGGAGCGGGGGAUCCUUAGUGGCGUCAUCGUCGACGUCGUGGCCGUUGGCAAAGAGGGGUGACAAAAAAAAUUAUAGAAGAAGUAAGAAAAAAAAAAAUAAAGAUAGAAAAUUAUAGAAAAAGAAGAAUGAAGAUGAAAUUGUAUCGUUAACUGCAAAAAAAAUUAUAAGUUGCACUACUUAAGAUGUAAACUGCACCUUUAAGAUGAAAAUUAUACUGUUUAAACGAAAAUUAUACUCUUUGGGAGAUAUUUACACUGUUUCUNUUUUUUUUUUUUUCCUCUUCGACUCUCCUCCACUGUUUCCGACGGCGACGCCUCUCUUGCCUUCCUCCGCCCUUCUCGUCCUCUCCCUCUCCCUCCUCCUCUGCCGCCUCCGACGACGAUGCAUCUUCGCCGGCGCCGAUGUCGGCGCCGACACCGACGCCGGCGCCGACACCGACGCCGGCGCCGACACCGUGGAGGUCACUGCGGCGCUGCAACCUCGGAGCGGGGGUUCCUUAGCGGCAUCGUCGCUGGCACCGUGGAGAGAGAUGACCAAAAAAAUUAUCAAAGAAGCAAGAAAAAAAAAUAAAGAUAAAAAAUUAAAGAAAAAGAAGGAUGAACAUGAAAUUACAUCGUUAACUGAAAAAAAAAUUAUAAGUUGCAUUACUUAAAAUGUAAACUGCAGCUUUAAGAUGAAAAUUACACUCUUUAAAUAAAAAUUACACUCUUUGGGAGAUAUUUACACUGUUUCUCCUCUUAUUGCACUCUUUCAGAUGUAAACUGCAUCCAUUAAGAUGAAAGUUACACUCUUUAAACGAAAGUUAUACUGUUUCUCCUCUUGUUACACUAUUUCUCCUCUUAUUACACUAUUUUUUAUCUUAAACUGCACUCAUUUAAGAUAUAUUUAUACUGUUUCUUCUCUUGUUGCACUAUUUCUCCUUUUGUUGUACUAUUUUUUCUCUUGUUACACUGUUUCUCCUUUUGUUACACUGUUUCUCCUGUAAACUACACCCACUAAGAUGAAAAUUACACUAUUUAAACGAAAGUUGCACUGUUUCUCCUCUUGUUGCACAAUUUCUCCUCUUAUUACACUAUUUUUUAUCUUAAACUGCACCCAUUUAAGAGAUAUUUAUAAUGUUUCUUCUCUUGUUGCACUGUUUCUCCUCUUGUUGCACUAUUUCUCCUCUUGUUAUACUGUUUUUAUCUUAAGCUGCAUCCUUUAAGAGGAGAACAGUGUAACAAGAGGAGAAAUAGUGCACUAAGAUAAAAAAUAGUGCAACAAGAGGAGAAACAGUAUAAAUAUCUCUUAAAUGGGUGCAGUUUAAGAAAAAAAUAGUGUAAUAAGAGGAGAAAUGGUGCAACAAGAGGAGAAAUGGUGCAACUUUCGUUUAAAGAGUGUAAUUUUUAUUUUAGUGGGUGUAAUUUACAUAUAAAAGAGUGCAAUAAGAAGAGAAACAGUAUAAAUAUCUUCCAAAGGGUGUAAUUUUCGUUUAAAGAGUGUAAUUUUCAUCUUAAAGCUGCAGUUUACAUCUUAAGUAGUGCAACUUAUAAUUUUUUUUGCAGUUAACGAUGCAAUUUAUCUUCAUCCUUUUUUUGUAUAAUUUUUUAUCUUUAUUUUUUUUCUUGCUUCUUUUAUAAUUUUUUUUGGUUACCCCUCUCCACGGCGCUGGUGACGAUGCCGUUAAGGACCCCCCGCUCUGAGGCUGCGGCGCCGCAGUGACCUCCACGAUGUCGACACCGGCGAAGAUGCAUCGUCGUCGGAGGCUGCAGAGGAGGAGGGAGAGGGAGAGGACGAGAAGGGCGGAGGAAGGCAAGAGAGGCGUCAUCGUCGGAAACAGUGGAGGAGAGUCGAAGAGGAAAAAAAAAAAAGAGUCAAGGCACGGCCUCGGCAAGGUCGGAGGUGAGAAAGGUGGGGGGGUAUGCAGGCGAGGGCAAGGAUGCACCGGCAUAUUGUCGGCGCCGGUGAAGAUGCGUCGUCCUCGGAGGCGGCAGAGGAGGAAAGAGAGGGAGAGGACGAGAAGGGCAGGAAGGGCGAGAAUGGCGUCGUCGUCGGAAAUAGCGGAGGAGAGUCAGAGAGGAAAAAAAAAAAAAAGUCGGGUGCGGCGUCGCAGGGUCCGAGCGAGAAGGGUGCGAAGGGUAGCGGGCGAGGGUAAGGAUGCGCCGGACAAGCCGCCUCCUUCGCCUUCGCCGCUCUCUGGGAAGAGAAAGAAAAAAGAACGAGAGAAAAAAAAAAAAGAGGAGAGAGAAAAAGGUAUAAGGGUAUUUUGGUCAGUUUGCUGAAAAAGCGGACCGAAUUUGCAAAAACGAAAAGGUGGCCCGGUUUUGAAAAAGCCCAAAAUAGUGAAUUUUUUUAAUGACAAUUGGCAUAUAUAUAUAUAUAUAUAAUAAUAUAUAUAUUAUAUAUAUAUAUAUAAUAUAUAUAUCAUAUAUAAUAUAUAUAUAUAUAUAUAAUAAAGAUGGUGGUGGACAUGGGCCGCCAUGAAUUCCGUAAGGGGCCGGCAACUGGCAUCAACCUCACCUCGAGAAAAUCUACUCUCCCACCGUUAUACAUUCCAUAUAAGAAUAACAAUUUUCAAUUAGAAAUCAACUCUAUAUUAUUAUAUAUAAAUACAAAAAAAAAGUUUUGAAAAAAAAAACAUCAUUUUAAUAUGGAACUGCUAUAUUAUACUUUUCAUUAGACUCUUUUGUUAUUUUAUACCACAUAAUAAAAUUGCGUUAGAAUAUAUUUUGUACGAUACAACUGUUAUAAUAAAGACUUUUUCGCUCGCCUCCCCCCGCACUUCUCCUUUUUCGCGCCAUACCUUUCUCGUGGCAUCUCCCUCGGCAUCUCCCUCUUCUCUUCAAAACACCGUUUAUUCGAUUCUUAACGGUUUUUUGUAACACCGUUGAAACGCUCUCCCCCCACCCCCCACAAAACCCCCUAAAAAAAAAUUAAAUAAAUAAAGACCUAUACUAACUCAAUUUUGCGACUCGCUUAUUAGGAUAUGUUUGUCUCGGCAUAAUUGAAGGAGAUCAUAACAAUAUACAUAUUCUAAAUGAACCUAUACUAACUCAAUUUUGCGACUCGCUUAUUAGGAUAUGUUUGUCUCGGCAUAAUUGAAGGAGAUCAGAACAAUAUACAUAUUCUAAAUGAAAAGUCAUCGAUUUUAACAUUUUUUUUCAAUUGUCUUGUUGCUCGAUGGAUACCGCGAAGAAAAUAUCAAAAUUGUGUUUAAUGUUUCGAAUAUUUAAUUAGUUUUUUAAAGUCAUGAUUCAAAAUAAGAGCAUUGUAAAUCAAUUUACAUAGCACACUUUUUGUGGUUAGCUAGAAAGCAACUUGCAAGCUUUAUAAAAAUUAAAAUUUUUUAGGAUAUAAUUAAAUUGAGUGAAAAGGACAUCACCCAAGAAGUUGCGUUGUGGCAUAGCAUAGAGAGUAUAUUUAUUAUUUUUUAAAACUAUAUUAUAUAAUAAGAUUACUUAUAUAUUAUAUAAUUAUACGAUGUGACAAUGAGAUUAGCAAAAGAUUAAAAUAAAAUAAAUUUGGUCACUGUCGAUGUGACAUGUGGCACAUCAGUGGCUCACGUGGGACGGGAAAAAGCCCUCCAUCGUCUUCGAAAGUCUGGAUCCGAGUCCGAGUCCGAGUCCGAAUCCGAACCGAAUCCAAAUUCCGUUCGAAUCGAGUUCAAGUCGGUUCAGAUCAAUUUAUUUAACUUAAACAAACUAAAAUUUAAGAUAAGGAUAUUUUCAACACAACAUUAAUUAAUCCUUAUGUAUGCGUCCAUGUCCAGGUUUGAGUCCGAGUCCGUUAAUUUAAGCUGAUACCAAGUCGAUCGAAUCAGCUCAAUUCGGUUUUAUUGCAACCCCUUAAGGUUUGAGUCCGAGUUCGAGUCAAUUUCGAAUCAAUUGGGCUCAAACGGGCUUAUUUAAACUAUAACUAGUCCGUAAUUAAUUAGGUAACAUUCCAUUCGGUAUCAAAUCACAAUAGAAUUGAAUUUAUCUUUAAUUACAAAAAUUAAAAUAAAUUUGAUUUUGGGAUUAAAUAGUUUGCUCAGAAUACGCUAUUGCUCAUAUAUAAUCUUACGGUUGUUAAAACAAGAAAAGAAAAAAAAUAAAGAGGGUAUUUUUGAGUAGAUGCAUGAUUUAAUUAAUUACACGUAAGAAAUAUAAAUUAUGCCAAAUAAUCUGAUCGUAAACACUCAAUUUUGCUUAUAUUUAUAUAUGAAUAUCAAUUCAAAUUAUCACAAAUUAACUCAAAACACAGUAUUUAGUGAAUUCUUAUUAGUGGGUUCGAAAUAGUAUUAAUUAAAGAUUAAUAAUUAGCUAAUCCAAAAAUCUUAAUUAUCCCUACAAUCCUACAGAUGUGAUGUCACAUCUAAACUACAACCCCUUUUAUUUUACCCUCUUGCUUUAUUAAAUUAUAAAUUAUAUUAUACUAUAUUUUAUUUAUUUAUUUAUUUAUGUUCAUCUAGUGAAUUAUUUUGUUUAUUUUAAGGGAGGAUGGUGUAUUGAAAACUAAGUCUAUAGACUAUGAAGUAUACAAAAAAUAAAAGUACUCCAAUAAAUUUUUUUUUUUUUUGAGAAAAACCAAUAAUUUUGUAAUUGCACCAAGUUUAAUUUCCAAGGAGAUCUUAAUUUUUUAAAUUUGUGUUAAAAGUAAUGUAUGGAGGCCCCUCAAAUUAAGAACUUGAUUUUUUUAAUUGAGACCUCUCACCUAUUAACUUUUUAAACUGAGUAAUUUUAGCAAAAUAUAUAGUUUGAGAAUAUUAUCAAAUUACUUAUUUUGAUUAUACUUUAGUAAAUAAAACUAUAAUAAUUAAGGGCUAGUGGUCAAUAGAUAUAAAGUUGUUAAAUUUAACAAUUGAACAACUCAAAUUUUUUUUAAAAAAAAAGAAAUUAAAAAGGUCAUUUUAGAAUGAUUUAUAGUUAAGGGAUCUCCAUACAUUUUUCACCUUUCUUUGUCACACGAGCAAGUAGUAACUUUAAUUUUCCCAAAUAUAAAAAAAAUAGAUGCUUUAUAUAUAUUUAUAUUUAUUUUCUUCAAUAUAAUAACAUUAAUGUGAGCUUCUCCUUUUCAGGUACGAGUGUGUUGCUUCUAAAAUGACAAGCCCUAGUUUAAAAAUAUCAAUACAUAAAAUAACAUAGACUAGGUAAGUGAAAGCAACACAAUUCCCACAAAAUAUGCUACUCUAAUUAUAAAAAGAGACCCACAUAAUUAAUAUGUAUAUAUAUGUGGAGUGGGUAAAGGGGUCUAGCUAUAUAGGUUGGCACGUGUGAAAGCAUCAUUGGCACGUGAGAAUACUAUGUUGCUUCAAUCAAGUCCUUUAUGUCGAAAGAACUAUUAAUUGAUUUGGUAAAAAUAAAAAAAAUUAUCACAUCAGCACCAAAUUGGGCGUAUCUACUUACAAUGUCAGUAGCCAUCUAAAUACAACGAAAUAUAAUUUUAAGUACGCUUUUUUGACAACACUUAAAAGAUGCGGCUGUACUAUUUAGCUAGCAAAUAUUGAAGUUUCAAAAAGUGUCGUCAUAUGAGUAUAGUCUAUUAUAUCAAACUAAUUUAUUGAAAAAUUAAUUUUAUUAUUAUUUUAAAUUUUUUGACAUUUUAAAAUGUCAGAAGCGUCAGAAUUUAUCUUACAGUAGACUAUUUUAGAACAUUUUUAAACAUCAUUCAUUAUCGUAAAAAAGCAUCAUUAAAUGUUAUUUCUUUUGUAGUGGCUUCACCAUUUGAAAAUUUUUUGACCAAAUCAAUAACAAUCUUUUGGAUAAAAGUGAGUCGAUUGAAGCUAUUGCAACUAUUCUUGAACUAUUUCAUGCUAGAUCGAUCGUUUAAGUAGAAUAGUGAGUCGAUUGAAGUUUUUUAUUAUUAUUAUUUUUUUGAAAAACAUGAUUCACUAAGAAUGUGAGACCCCAGAUAGUCCUAUAUAUAAGAUAAAAAUAGGGCUAAACUCUUAACCCGGCUUAAGCAUUUUGGGUGGUGGCUAGAUCCAAGAGGUUAAGAGAGUUAAGCGUGCUAGGACGGGAGUAGUCCUAGGAUGGGUGACCCCCUGGGAAGUCGGUGUGUCACAAAGAACUUUAAGACUUUCCUUAAUUGGACUGCGUUUUGUUAAAUAGAUAUUUUAAAUAACAUAAAUAAUUGAUAUGUGUAUAUAUCAAGAACCUAAUUGUAAUAUUGAAAGGAUAAGAUCCAAUUGUGUAAUCAAUUAUUAUUUGGAUGGUGAUAUAUAAAUAGUGGUCCUCUAAUACUGGGUUGUUCAACUCUCUUAUCUUUUUAUGUUAUGUAUCUUUGUCAUUGCUUCUUAUGUUAAUACAUGUGAUAUGAUUCAAUGAGAAUGCUAGAACCAUUUUUGGGCCAAUUUUUAUUAGAUCACUAAUCGAUUAAUGGAUACAAUAAAUAACUGACAAAGUUUAAGAACCUAGUUGUAAAUAGCAAAUGAAUAUAUUAGCACCCAGUAUAUAGUAUGCAUAGUGGUCCUCUCCCCAUGUAUAUUAUUUUGUUAUCUUUUUUGCUACUUCUUUUGUUAGUACAUGUGACAUGUUUCAGCAAGAAUGUUAAGAUUAUAUGUUCUUAAACUGAUUUGUUAUUAGUUCGAACUUCUGGCUAAUAGAAAUAUUGAAAGUAUGAAGGCCGAUUGUGCCCGUUCAAACUCACUUUUGUUAAACAAUGUGACGUAUCCAAUAAGAACUCAACCAAUCCAAAAUCUUAAGUUUCUGGGAUGUGAACUCAUCAUGCAUGCUAAUUAUUCAAUAAAAAACUUUUCGCAUAUAUAUAAAUUAAGUUCUAAUAAAUUGUGCAAUUAAAUAUUAUUUGGAUUGUGGCAUAUGUAUAUUUAUAUAUACAGUGGUCCACUCCAUAACUAUUGGAAGCUUAGAGAGAGGGUGAGGGUCAUGUGACAUCACCACCAAAAAGGUGAUGCGGAGAGAUGGUUGGGGUGUCAUCCAUCAAUCCGUUUUGCAGUUGCUAAUCUUUCAUGCCCACACACACACACACACACACACACACAUUCAUAGUUGUAGUAGUAGUAAUUAAUCUCUCUCUCUCUCUCUCUCUCUCUCUCUCUCUCUCACACACACACACACACACACACACACACANCCACAACAGGUAAAGAGUGAUAUAACAAGUUUGAACCACUACAACAUCGUGAAAAAGCAAAUGCAAAAUUCAUUUGCUUCCGAAAAGCUAAAACCGAUCAAAUUCCAAACCUUCAAGAUUAUAGUUCACAUUAUGAAACCUUAAAACUGCAUUAUCAGAUCGAAAAGUGACAAAUAAAGAUUUAUGAACUUACAAACUUCAACUUGAGCGCUAUCGUCCUCUGCGGGUAGGUCCAUCCUACGACUUACAUUUUCCACGACCUCCUGCUCAGCGAGAAUAUAUUUGAAUUUUAUGGUGCCAAAUAUCAUAACUGUUACUGUCCAAUUUUUUUUCUUUGAUCAGAUUAGCAACAACUUAGUUUUGAGGCCAUAUUAUCUCACUAAGUUCACACAGCGCAUAGAAAAAAAUUCAAAAAUUAGCAUAUAUAUAUAUAUAUAUAUAUAUAUAUAUAUAUAUAUUGUUACCAUUUUCUUUCUAGCCAUUCGUUCCGUGAAGCGACCCUUCGAUCAUCAUUUGGGUAGUUACAUGUAACAAUCUUAAUUUCUCCAUAUAUCACUCUGUGGUGUGCGCCUAUACUGUCUUGUUGCUCAAGUGUCAGCUAUCAGGGUCCUCUGUCUUGAUUCGUAAGCUGGUAAGACUCGAACAGCACAUCGUCCGUGCCUGAUGCCUGUUAUAAACGGCCGUUAUGAGAUUCGACCCCCGUUAUGUAUGGAUGUGCCAUUGAUUUUUUCUUCGAGUAACGGCUGUUGAUUUACUUUUUCUGAUGUGAAAAUUAUCCUUAAAUCAUGUGUUGUCGAAUGGCUCAAUCAAGUGAUUAAGUGGAUUUUUUUUUUUUUGGAGGGACCACAAAAGAUAGCAUGAUCAAGUUUAUGAGACUUGGAUUGAGUUGGUGCGACGUCCAAAUCGCGACGGUUCAAUAAUUGAUCAAGACGCUAUUGGAUCAUUACCCGUUACGAGCGGCCGACCGGAUUGCACAUGUCCACCAUCUCACCGGGACCGCUUUUUGAUCGGCCGCCCGAUGCGCGCCGGACGGUCGCGAUCGGCGGUCGAGAUCAAAUCAGCUUUAGGGCCAAUGCAAAGAUCCCUUUUUAUGGUGGUGGGUUUGGGCCUCACAACCUUAUCAUCUCUUUUAAGCAGGGCCUCGGAGGCGGAGUAGUGAAAUGACCAAAAUACCCCUAGCUCCUUCUCUAUUUCUGGGUUCACUUCACCAGCUACUGAGAAGGCUUAGUUACAGGCAUGUAACAAAUGAGCCUCCUCCCUAAGUCAGCAUAAUGAUACAACUGAGGUAAAUUAACAGAGUGGGUUUCAGCUGCUGAAAUGACAAAAAUACCCCUGCAUAUCUUGCCUGAUGUCCCAUUUGGUUCAUUCCACCUAAGAAAAGAUGUGCAAAUCACCUACCAUAUAUAUAUAGUUUUAAUAAAUAAUUAAAUGCACCCAAAACUUAAUGUCCCCUCUUUCAAAUCAUUGUAGAAAAUUUUAACUUUAACUAACACAAGUCACCUUUAAAUAAAGCAGUAGCUAGCUAGAAAGGGAUGUCCCUUAUCUCAAUUAAAAUAUAAAUGGGGGCUGUGUGUAUCAAUUGACCAUUUUGAGUGGGGGUCAAUUAAUUUGUAAGAGAAAAAAAAAAGAUAAAGAGAGAGAGAGAGAGAGAGAGAGAGAGAGAGAGAGAGAGAGAGAGAGAGAGAGAGUCCUCUUUUUGUGUUUUUUUUUGUUCUCUCUACUUCUAAUUGCAAAAUAUAUGUUCACUUCGGAAUAUUAUUUUAUGCAAGGAGAAAAGAGGAAAAAAGGAAAAUAAAAAAGCCAAUAAGAGAGGGGCCUUUUCUAGCUCUUCGCCCUGUUCAAGAUCACCCUCCAUUUCCAUCAUUUUUUUUUCCUCCUCCUCCUCUUACCUUUCAAUUGUAGAAGAAGAGGAAAGAGAGAGAAAAUAUAGAGAGAGAGAGAGAGAGAGGAUAUACGGAGAAGAAAAAAAGAAAACAAAGGAAAAAAAAAAAGAAAAAGAAAGGAAAGAGAGCUAAGAGAGAGAGAGAGAGAGAGAGAGAGAGGAGACAAAGAAACAAAGAGAGAGAGAGAGAGAGAGAGAGAGAGAGAGAGAGAGAGAGAGAGAUGGACUACAACUACAAGAAGAAGCUUUCAACUCCUCCCCAAGACAAUGAUGUGUUCUUUCUCUAAGAGCCCCUUCACUUUCUCUCUCUACACCCAUCACUCUUCAUCUCCUUAGGUAACAACAACAACAGCAACAACAACAACAACAACAACAACUAUAUACUCUUUCUCUCUCACCACCACCACCAUGUAGUCUUAUUUGUACAUAUGAUGAUGAUAUGAGGAAGAUACAUACAUAAACAUGCACACACACACACAUAUAUAGAUAUAUAUGGCCAAUUGUUAAUUCUCUAGUUAAUCCACCUUGUUAUUUAUUUUACAUGUUUGAUUCUGUGGUUCUCAAUUCGAUCCAUGGAUGAGGUUGUUGUUCUCUUCUUUGUGCAGCAGCAGAUACAUGUGAUUACUCUAAAUAGUAUUGGACCACCAAAAUCACCAUGAAGAGAGAGAUAGAGAUAGAAAUAGAGGAGGCAUGGGAAUAGCCACGCCGCCACCGCCGCCGCACCUAAUCAUCGGCCUGCCGAAGCCCGUUUCGUCGCUGCAGACGCCGACGACGACGAGUACUUCUAUGUCCCACGGCUUCCACCACCACCACCACCACCACCAAGGCGGCAUCUUCGGCUUCUCCUCCGAUGUCUUCGACCGUUCCACAGCACCGUCAACGACGACGACGAUACCCGGCAACGCCGGCCAGCACGAGCACGUCGCGCAGCAGAGCCGGCGGGAGAAGCUGCGGGUGCAAGAAUUCGACCCGGCUGGCGCGGCAGCCACCGGACACGCUCAGCUAGUCCCGAUAGACGACGACACUGGCGACGGAGAUGGAGAAGGCGGCGGACAAGAAGCGAGCAUGUACGCCACUGCCGCCGGAGGGGCGGGGCACGCCGCCACCGGCAGCAUGCUGUCGGAGAUGUUCAAUUUCGCAGGCGGCUGCCCGUCGGGCGCCGACUUUCUUGGAUAUCGCCAGCUGUCUGCCAUGAGGCCUGCGGCGCCGCCGAUGGCAGCCUUUGGGACCGGCGAUUGGUACGCAGGCUCGUCGAACAAGCCCCAGCAGCAGCAGCAGCAGCAGCAGGCGAUGCACCACCACCCGGCGCUCACCGCCGACUCGGCCAUGCAGCUCUUCUUGAUGAAUCCCCCUCCGCCGCCGCCACUGCUGCAUCGUCAUCAGCAUACGCGAUCUCCUUCUCCCCCUCCUCCGCCACCGCCGCCACCGCAGCCAGAGCAGCAUACGCAAACUCUCCACCACCACCAAGCCCUAAUCCAAGCAUUUGGGGACAAUUCCGCUGCUUCCUUCGGCGGCGGUCAAGGGCUGAGCCUGUCGCUGUCGUCGUCGCUGCAGCAAUUCGAAAUGGCGAAGGCGGCAGAGGAGCUGCGGGUGCGCGACGCUGCCAUGCUGUACUACAACCAGCAGCAGCAGCAGCAGCAGCAGCUUCACCACUUGCAGUUGGAAGGCCAUGGGCAGGUAUUGGGGCCGCCGCAGGCCGCGCAGCUGGGGUUCGGGCCGGCCGGGGUGGCGGCAGUGCUGCGCAGCUCCAAGUACGCGCGGGCCGCGCAGGAGCUGCUCGAAGAGUUCUGCAGCGUUGGGAGGGGCCAAUUCCGGUCGGGCCGGAUCGGACGAGGGUCCGCCGCCAAUAACCCUAACCCUAAAAGCGGCGGCAACAGCGGGGCUUCGAGCUCUGCGGCGGCGGCGGCUGCUGCAUCCACAUCGUCGUCGAAGGAGGCCCCUCCCUUGUCUCCUGCAGAGAGGUUUGAGCAGCAGAGGAAGAAGGCCAAGUUAAUCUCCAUGCUUGACGAGGCAAGUAGUACUAUAAUUACUGUUAAUUACUCUUCAACCUUUUAAUUAGUCAAUAAAUUAAAACACAUGCACCCAUCUCUCUCUCUGAUCUCUCUCUCUCUCUCUCUCUUCUCUCUCUCUCUAGCCCCACAGCUAAAUUUUUGUUUUCUAAUGUGAGGAGCCAACAAGAAUUCCGGCCGGCAAUUGCGUAGAGUUUGGGGUUGGUUGAUAUCAAGUCAUUUUAACCUGUAAUUAUUGGGAUUACUUUUUAAAGAGUAAUUUGAUGCAAUUAAUUGGAUUUAUCUAUUCUAGAAGGUGUGGGAUAUGUAUAUAAAUAUAUAGGAGUGUUAUGGUAACUCUCCCCAAAAUCUCAUUAGUUAAUGAGAGAACCCAAAAAGCAUCUCCAUUCGGAGUUAUAUCAUGCUCCAGUGGUCCACUAAUUUCUUGUUAUCCAAUAGCAUUAGUAGUAAAAUGGGUGGUUUUAAUUGUUUGCAUUCAUUUCAAAACUCAAAGAGAGAGAGAGAGAGAGAGAGAGAGAGAUUUCCAUUGCCCUUCAUAUAUAGUAACAAUUCCAAACAACAAUAACAACAAAAACAACUACUACUACUACUAGUACUAUACUACUAUAUACUACCCAGUUGGGGCUUUUUAAUUGUGUGAGUUGACCUAGCUACAACCUAUCUAUGGGAGUUGAUCCAUCCUUUUCUUGUUUUUAAAUUUAUUCAUAUGUAAGUUUUUCUUUCUUUCUUUCUUUCUUUCUUUAUUUCACACGCUCACAAAAGAAAAAGACACGUUCUGAUUAGUUUAUUUCCCACACAAUCAUUUAAUUGCUGUGAAUCUUUUGUUUUUGUUUUUUUUUUAAAAAAAAGCCCUUUUGAUGCAUUCCUACUCUCCCCAACACAUCAUCAUAUCUACACACCUAUAAAUAUAAAUGAGCUAACUGUUUUUUGGCACUAUUAGGAUCAUUCAAUUCGAUCCCCCUCACCUCUCUCUCUCUCUCUCUCUCUCUCUGUCUCUCACUUACCACCCUACAUGCAUGUUACUGCUCCUUUCAUGGAGAUUCAUGAAGGAACCUCUUCUAUGUUAACUUCCACAGUAAGUAAUUGAGCAAUCACAUACGUAAUAGCUGGGUUUCCUCUUCGACAUAUGGUUUCCUCUCCAUCUUACUAUAUAUAUAUUAAGCAACUACUCUACACUACCCACACACACACACACACAUAUGUGUGUGUGUGUGUGUGUUUGCUACAUAUAAAAAGCUUUGAUUGUGUAUAAUGAGACCUCCAAUCCUACUUUUAAUUACACCAACCAUACAUAUAUUAUAUAUAGAGAAAAAUGGUGGUUAUUUUUAUAUAUUCUUGGUUUGUUUGGUUUAUAUCUUAAAAAAUAAAAACGUCAUUUGUGUAUUAUUUUGGACUGCAACAGGUGGAGAGAAGAUACAACCACUACUGCGAGCAGAUGCAGAUGGUGGUGAACUCGUUCGACUCGGUGAUGGGGUUCGGCGCGGCGACGCCGUACACGGCGCUGGCGCAGAAGGCGAUGUCGCGGCACUUCCGGUGCCUGAAGGACGCGAUCUCCGCACAGCUGCGGCAGGCGUGCGAGCUCCUCGGGGAGAAGGACGCGGGCGGCGGCUCGGGGCUGACCAAGGGCGAGACCCCCCGCCUGCGCAUCCUCGACCAGAACCUGCGCCAGCAGCGCGCCUUCCACCACAUGGGCAUGAUGGAGCAGGAGGCCUGGCGGCCCCAGCGCGGCCUCCCCGAGCGCUCCGUCAACGUCUUGCGCGCUUGGCUCUUCGAGCACUUCCUCCACCCGUAUGUAUAUUUACACACACACUCACUCUUCCCUUCCCUCUCCAACUACGUAACUUCGUUUAAUUCUCUCAUUCUUAAUUUCUUUUUAUAUAAAUACAUAUACAUGCAUACAUAUAUGUACGUCGUAUACACUUCAAUUUGCAUGCAUGGUAGAGCAAUGUGGCUCUUCAUGUACAUAUAUAUAUACACACACUAGGGUAAAGUGGUAGGGAUAAAUAUAUGUCCCUGUAUAUAUAUGUAUGGUUGGACCCUGCACUACUUUUCAUUUGCUCAUUUUAGUAGUCCCUUGACUUUGAAAUUUCUUUUUUUUUUUCUUACAUAGAAAAAAAAAGAUAAUCUUAACUUCUAUUGAUAAAGAUUCUUUUAAUUAACCAAUAAUUCUUAAUUAGAUUAUGGUAACGUUAGGCAUUUCAUAGGAAAAAAAUUUAAAGUAGUCAGGUAAUAGGGGAGAGUGCAAGGAGAACAUAUAUAUGCAUACAUUUUAUUCUCAAUACAAUCCAUUUGGAUGCAAAAAAUGUUUUCUUUUUCCAUGUAAAAUACUUACUCCACGGUUUAUAUACAUUUUUUUUUCCAUGUAAAGUACUUACUCCACGGUUUAUAUACUUACAUUGGUGUACGUGACAAAAUUUUCUUAGUUAUUUUUGCCAAAAAUAUAUAAAUUGAGAAAUUUUACUGGUACAAAGUAUAAGCAUUUUCUCUCUAGUCUUAUUAUUUUUUUUUAUAUUAGACACCUAAAAGAGUUUUUAAAUUCUUGGAUGAAUGAGUGUGAAAUUUACACCGUAUUUUUUGCUACACGAGCUACAUUUUUAUUAUAACUAAAUUAUAUUAUUCUUUUCCUAACAACUUACUAAUGAAUGUAUAUGCUAGUACACUUGUUAUUGAAUCUAUGAGUAAAUAUACCUUGCAUUGUUCCUAUUUAUAUAUAUAUAUAUAUAUAUAUAUAUAUAUAGAGUGAGGCUACUAUGCUAUCGGAAGCACGGAGCCUUUCGUGCUUCCAGCUCGUUUUCGAUGUUGCGACUUUCGAAUCGUCGAUCGGCUCCGUUAAACUUGAUCUAGAGUAUUUGGAGUUCCUAGAAAAUAAAUUUAUUAUUUUUCGAUAUCGUUUGCCUAGUAAUCGAAUAGGCUCAAAAUCAACAAAUUUCAAUAGCCGUAGUGAGCCGUUUGCAAGUUUAAUGGUGUAAAAAUAUCCAAAUCACAUGAAAAUUUUGAUAGAAAAUUCUUUAUACUAUAUUAAACAAGAUCAAUAUCUUUGAUUUAAAAUUUUAAUGUCAUAAUUAUCACGUUUUGUAAGAUUUUUAUUUCAGCCGUUGAUUUUGAGCGCCCUUAGUUUACUAGGCAAAUGAUAUCGAAAAUUGUAAAUUAUUUUCUUAAAUACUUCAAAUACUCUAGAUCAAGUUUAACGGAGCCGAUCAAGAUUUGAAAGUUGCAACCAGUCAAAAACGAUCUGAAAGCACGGAAGGUCCGUGCUUCCAGAAGCAAGUAGCCUCACUCUCUCAUCUCCUCUCUCUCUCUCUCUCUCUAUAUAUAUAUAUAUAUAUAUAUAUAUAUAUAUGUAUAAAUAUAUAUAUAUAUAUAUCCAUUUGGAUUUUUGGACACAUCUCUCAUUAUUGGUACUACACCCAUUAACUGCAUGCAUGCUUUUUCCCCCCCUUUCUUUCUCGAUUUUGUUGUGCUUUUGGUAAAGCUUGUCUAAAUUCUUCGAGAUCUACGCUUACUGUGGUUAUGCAGUAAUUCUUGGCUUUUUUUCACUGCUGUUCUGAUGCACUGCUUUUUCAUUAAUACAUAUGCUUUUUAUGCACACAUAUAUAAAUAUAUAGCUAUAUACAUUCUUCAUGUUUUACUUAAUAUUGUUUGACUUUAAUAGAUAUGUAUAUAUAUAUAUAUAAGCCCCAGAGAACUAAUGCUGGCCUGGGUGAAAAGCUGAUAAAAAAAAAAAGGAAAAAAUUUUACUAGCUGCAAGUGUUUACUCUACUUUUUAAUUUGAAUGAUGAUUGCAACAGCAUUAGCAUUAUGUAGUAAAAUGAUUAGCACUUUUAUGUAAUCUGUGAUUACUUUUCCUCUAAAGAUUCAGCCCCCUGCAUUUGUCCUUGGGCAUUGUCUUUACACCAAAAAAAGCUGAGGAAAAGCUUCUCUCUUUGUUUCAUUAAUUCCCUUUUACAAGGAUAUGCCACAUGCCACAACAACAACCAUAACAUUCUCUUUCCCCCUUUUUCCUUUUUUUUUUUUUUGUUUUGUUUUUGACUGGUGAUAGGAGAUUCCACAACCCAAGGACAACAACAAGAAGAACCAUAACAUUCAAACUUCACUUAAUUGUUAUAGCUUAUGUAUUUGGGUAUGUUUCUACUGAGUACUUGAAGAAUACUCGUUAAGAUCUAUUAAAUAUAAUUAUUAAGAUAAUUCAAAAGGCAUGAGUAAGUGUAUCUCCUCACACCAAUUCAUGAGAUAGUUAUUACUCUCAUACCCUAGUUAAUGUCUAAAUGAGUUUUCCUCAAGGCACUCAUUAGGGGGAAAAAAAUCUAUGAAUUUUGCCUUUUGAAAUUUCCCUUUAUUUAGAAAAAAAAAAGAAAUAUGGCAAAAAAAUUUCUUGUUGUAGUUAAAUUGUGAUGGAAAGUAGGACCCUUCUUUUGUUUUUUUUUUUUGGUAACCAUGCAUGGAGAUUGUCAAAACUAUAUAAGUCAUUUUCAAAUAGGCAUUGAAGUUUUUAAAAAAUUGUAUUAUGAUGUUGAACAUUUUUAAAUUCUAAUUUACUAUUUUACUACUGCUACAAAAAAAUUAUUAUUGAGCAAUUCUUCCUCUACAACUACCUUUGAUUGUAAUACUACAACACCCUCAUCCAAAGGCCAUAAAUUUUACACUAGUCUUAAUUACCAAUCUAUUUUUUAUUUUAUUUUUUUAAUACUGAAAGCAUACAAAGAGUUGACUAAGCCCGAAAUGAGUUGUAGACCAAGUAUCUCUCAUUAUUAUUUGCACCAAGUGCAUGUUUCUCAACACCUGGGGGCCACGUUAUCAUCUGAUAUCUAUUUCGUUUCAUACUUCAAUAUCUACUCCUCAUCUUGCUGCACCUUUUCUCUAUGUAAGUUUUGGAAGGUUUGAUACAAAGUACAGAAUGAGAUUGAGGGAAGACAAUAUUGUGCAGUACAGAUGUGUGCAAAUGCAUUGAGUUGUCGCAAAUAUUUUGCAUUAUUACGGGAUAUAGGUACAUAGCGAAAUCAAAAUUUCAUGAAGGUUAGGUACUGAAAUUCAAACUUUCAAAACUAAGGUACACUUGUUUCAAACGGUGUAUAUUAAGAUCAGUUUACUUACCUCCUUAAAUAUUAUUAUCAUUAUUUUAAGAUCUUGUGGCCUAGGUUUAAUCUUAGAUUCUCU
rnacentral:lncRNA from 1 species